GCCACCUGCAGGGAAAUGUUACAACUGUACAAACUGAUGCUCUUCUACUUGAGACUCCAGAAUGAAGGAAGGGAUCUUGCUGCCCUGCUUUGGUACUGCAGAUCCCUAUAGACCAAAGGAAGAGACAGGUGCAGGAGGUGACUCAGACCCCUGAUACAAUGCCUCUUGUUUCUGAGGGAGCUCUUUAAGGUGUGUCCCCUUCCGUCUGACAACAGAGGUGUCCUCAGAAUUGGAGAUCCUAUCAGCAAGUGCAGGAUGAGGGUAAGCUCAAUCAGGUUUGCUUAUCAAAACAUCUGUGAAAAGGCUGUGAAUUUGUGUGGAGAAUGUGGGAAUGUUUAUUCCAGCUGGGUUAUCUGACUGAAGACUUUACAUUCUGAUGAUAAGAAGAAAAUAUGGGAGAACAGUGCUGAGACACAGACCUUACAAAGUAAAAAUGGAAAUGAUGACAAGAAACAAACCUCAGAUUGCACUAGUGGAUGGGCUAUCUUACUACAGGUGCUACUUCCAGGAAAAUCAACCUGGACUUUGAAACCGAUAAGACUGAACAAGGUCAGAGGCUGGACUGGGAGGUGCACAGGAAAACUGCAGAGCUCUACAAGCCCAUGGUGGGAGCAGGAGGAACAAAGUGGGGAGAUAGGUAGAAAGGGUAUGAACGCACACAAGGCUCUGAGGCUGCUGCUCACUUCAAGCACUGGGUGCUGUGCCCAUGCUCUGCAAGUCCUCUGUCCCUGACCUCAGGAACAGGUUUGGUGGGCACUAGUGCAGCCAAAACCUGCACAUUUCCUCCUAGAGGGGCUCCCUGCACUGUAGCUGUGGGUCACAGGCUGAGCUAGGCCUGAGAGUGGGGAAAUGCCCUGACAUAACAGGUAGCCUUUGGCAGUCAGGUGAGAGGGAAGUGUCACUUGGAUCUGUUCUGCUGCAGGAAAGAAAGCUCAGAUGAGUUAUGACACUGCUGUACAUCCUGAGGAAGCAGAGCUAAUGUAUGUAAAGACCAACAAAGUGGAAAGUACUUAUAGGAAAAUGAGCUUUCUUGCUUUACAAUGACAGGAUUAGGCAGGUGUGUUAGCAAUGCAAACUGUAAUGAUCCUGGAGGGCAGCACUGGCAGCUUCCUGCUGUCCUUCCUCCCUCUCCCAAAUUCUGACUUGCUGUAUAAAGCAAGGAAAGCCCCCUAGUUUUCCAAAGUAAUAAAAAAUUUGCUCUUGGCAAAUGAAUAGUGUGUUUCCCUGCUUGGUUAUUGCAGACAUCAGGCAAAAUGUGUUGCCUGAAAAUGAAGUGUUAACCCUUUCUCAAGAAAGAAAAUGAAUAAAGGUUGCAUGCUGGUCAAGAAGAAACUCUGCUUCCCAGCCUCAGUGUUUGGUUGCUUUCACAGAUGCUGUUUUACUCAAUUCUGAUAUUCCCACCUAAGAGGUAAACAGAACGUGACUGAGACUAAAGGUCUGUCUGAUUGCAAGGAGUCCUGUGUUGGUGAUGUGGGGGAAGUAGCAGAACUGCUCCUCCCAUGUUUUGCCAGAAGAAGGCGCUUCUGAGAGACCUGGUGCAAAAAGAGUGUUCUGGUUGAUGCAAAGUGAAAACGGUGUCAUUUUUUCUUCCUGUUCCUCAGUGUCACCACGCACUGGUGUUUCUUAGGCUGGAUGUGGCUAGAGAGACAAAUUAGUUCUCAGUGUCCUUUCUUCUUCCUUGUCAGCCACCUGAGCUUACAGCUUAGUUCCUUUCAGGUUUGUUUUUGUAGGCUUCUGAGUGGCUGCGUCACUGUGAUGUGGCAGGGCCAGUUUAGGCUGAUGUCAUUCAGGAAGAACUUCUUUCUCCUGUACUGAGCCACUUCCGGAUCAAGCAGCUUUCUGACCUCUAGAGUAAAGCAAGUGGAUACUGGACCCUUCCCACCUGAGGAAGUUGGUGAUGACACAGGGCCUUGCAGGCUCUAGAAAGCUCAGGAUGCAAAGGAGAAGUGUUUCCAGAGGCAAACACUCAAGUGGACAGUCUCCUUCUCUUUCAAGGCUGACAGCUGUGGUCCACUCUGCUCAUCUGGAGAUGUUCGUGUUUACAGAGGGGGAGGUAGACCCAAGUGACUCCAAAGAAUAUGAAAAGGUGAAGAAAUCAGAGAAGACAUGCCCUGUCAACGCAGGCUUUUCUUAACAAGUGAGCUUCUGGACAAAUAAAGAAGGACUGUGCUUCCAGGAAUUGGCAGUUCUGCGUAACCGGCCAUUUGCAUUCAGAGCUGCAAGAACCCCGUGAAGCCUGCUGCCUAACACCGGAGUUUCCCCAGGAAAUUGCGCACCUAAAAGAAACAACAGAGGAAUUGAACAGUGUUUUACCCAAGGAGCUAUGGGAGGAGUUUGCAGUCAGAGCUCUGUUUGUAGGAUUUCUCAUAGAACGAGUGGAGCCCAGAUGUUCUCGGUAAACGGCUUUCAAAACAGUUGAGACCAGUGUCAAAUUUCCAGGCACGUGAUCGAGCCUGGAGCCAAGUUUGGGGUUGCUUUUGUGUUUACCCAAAGUCUGCGAGCUGAAUUGCACCGAAGGUUGUGAGUGGGUGGAAUGAAAUUCUCCAUAACAAAUAUUUGACCGGAUGCGCGGUUUAUCUUAUGUACAGGACUUUGAGCUUUGAAAAAAGGCUGCUGUGUUUUUGUUAUUGUAAUAUUUGAGGCAUACUCAGCUAUCUCUUGCUCGCUGGAUUUAGAACAGGCGUUGUGUUUUAACUCAGAUCUGUUAGCACUCUAGCCAUUAAGAAACCAAGCGUUUUAAAGCCAGAGGGAAACCCUUUCUAUAGAUGAUCAAUGAAACACUGCGCAUUCUUCAACGCUCUGCCUUGUCCAACUGCAGUGACCUCUGCCCACGUGGAGGAACGCCUCUUGUCAAAGGUCGACCUGGGUGCCUAAGUCACAUGCUAAGAUCUUGCUAAGGCAGUGAAUCAGCAAAAAUCUGACUCCCAUUUUUACAAGCUCGGAAUUUACUUUUGGCGUGUACUGUCCAGUGUCACACAUAGUGUAUGCCGCUCACUUUGAUGAGAAACUCUGAGCAUUAGCGUGGGAGGAGAACAUGAGAUUUCAAACGUACCUGGCAGCCUGCGAAGCAACAGCGUUUCUGAGGCAGUAUCCAGAGCAGGGCCCAGUCACUGUGGGGAGGAAGUCUGGAAGCUUCCCAGGCCUCGUGGCUGAGUCACUGGCUAUUUUAUGGUGUGGAAAGUCACUGGCAAGUGGGGCUUUAUAG